GAACGCAUAUUGCGCUCUCUGGUAUUCCGGAGAGCAUGCUUGUUUGAGUAUCAGUAAACACCUCAACUCCCCUUUCUUUUUUUGAAAUGGGAGCUGGACUUGAGUGAUCCCAACGCUUUUCUCACCGAAAAGUGGCGGGUUACUUGAAAUGCAGGGGCAGCUGGACUUUUCUCUGAGCUAAAAGCAUAUUUAUUUAGUCCCGUCAAACGGAUUAUUACUUUUGCUGCAGCUAACAUAAAGGGAGUUUGACCGUAUUGGCUGACUGAUGCAGGAUUUCACAAGGGUCGGCAACGAUUCUUGUAAAACUCGAUCUCAAAUCAAGUAAGACUACCCGCUGAACUUAAG
rnacentral:misc_RNA from 1 species